UGGGGAAUAUUGGACAAUGGGCGAAAGCCUGAUCCAGCCAUGCCGCGUGUGUGAAGAAGGUCUUCGGAUUGUAAAGCACUUUAAGUUGGGAGGAAGGGCAGUUACCUAAUACGUAUCUGUUUUGACGUUACCGACAGAAUAAGCACCGGCUAACUCUGUGCCAGCAGCCGCGGUAAUACAGAGGGUGCAAGCGUUAAUCGGAAUUACUGGGCGUAAAGCGCGCGUAGGUGGUUUGUUAAGUUGGAUGUGAAAUCCCCGGGCUCAACCUGGGAACUGCAUUCAAAACUGACAAGCUAGAGUAUGGUAGAGGGUGGUGGAAUUUCCUGUGUAGCGGUGAAAUGCGUAGAUAUAGGAAGGAACACCAGUGGCGAAGGCGGCCACCUGGACUGAUACUGACACUGAGGUGCGAAAGCGUGGGGAGCAAACAGGAUUAGAUACCCUAGUAGUCCCUGAGCGGGCUGGCAAGGCGCAU
rnacentral:rRNA from 1 species